rnacentral:rRNA from 1 species
UACAGAGGUCCCAAGCGUUGUUCGGAUUCACUGGGCGUAAAGGGUGCGUAGGCGGUCGGGUAAGUCUGGCGUGAAAUCUCCAAGCCUAACUUGGAAACUGCGUUGGAUACUAUCCGGCUCGAGGAAUGGAGGGGAGACUGGAAUACUUGGUGUAGCAGUGAAAUGCGUAGAUAUCAAGUGGAACACCAGUGGCGAAGGCGAGUCUCUGGACAUUCCCUGACGCUGAGGCACGAAAGCCAGGGGAGCAAACGGG